GGGGACAUAGUUUAAUUGGAAAAACUACGAUUUUGCAUAUCGUUAUUUCAGGAUCGAGGCCUGCUGUCUCCA
rnacentral:tRNA from 3 species